UGGCGGCGUGCCUAAUACAUGCAAGUCAACGGUCUUUCUAUGGAAGCUUGCUUCCACUGAGAAGAUAGUGGCGAACGGGUGAGUAACACGUGGGUAACCUGCCCAUAAGAGGGGGGAUAACAUCCGGAAACGGGUGCUAAUACCGCAUAGUUUUCUUGGUCGCAUGAUCGGGAAAGGAAAGACGGCCUUUGUGCUGUCGCUUAUGGAUGGACCCGCGGCGUAUUAGUUAGUUGGUGAGGUAACGGCUCACCAAGACGAUGAUACGUAGCCGACCUGAGAGGGUGAUCGGCCACAUUGGGACUGAGACACGGCCCAAACUCCUACGGGAGGCAGCAGUAGGGAAUCUUCCGCAAUGGACGAAAGUCUGACGGAGCAACGCCGCGUGAGUGAAAGAAGGUUUUCGGAUCGUAAAACUCUGUUGUCAGAGAAGAACAAGUUGGAGAGUAACUGCUCCAGCCUUGACGGUAUCUGACCAGAAAGCCACGGCUAACUACGUGCCAGCCGCCGC
rnacentral:rRNA from 1 species